rnacentral:lncRNA from 1 species
CUGGACAUAAUAAUCAUCUUUAUAUUAGUUAAGUAAAUAACAAAAUAAAACUUUCAAAAAUUUCAACACAGACCAUUAUUAAGUACAAAAAAACAAAAAACUAAUGCUAAAGAAAGUAUUAACAAAACAAAUUAUUGUUAUUUACAUUUAAAAAGAACUAUACACAAAAUUAAUAUCUUUAUACCUGCUCUCUUUCUUGAAAACACCUUCUCUACACAAUAAACCAUUAACAAAAAUUAAACUAAUACUCUUGUUGUUGUUAGUUUCAUUUAAAUUUAAAAAUAAAAAAAAAGUAAGAAAAAAAUUAGAAAUAUACCUGUCUUUCUUUCAAACACACCCUUUUACAAAAUAAAAAAAAAACCGAAAAACUUAACACAACCAUUUAUAAAAUAAACAAAUGAAAAACAAAAAAUAAAAUAAAAUUCACAUGCAAACCUUCUUCUUCCUUCUUCUUCACGGUUCUACCAAGCAAAACUAAACUUUUUUUCUUCUUCUUUCAAUACAACCACAAACGGUGGUCCAUACAAGUCAUAUAUAUGCAUGCAUAAAAAAAAAAUUGAUUUUGGCUUAGGCUCGUGACCAUGCGGUCACCUCAGCAGAUUGAGGGUAAGUUUGGAUGGACAGUGCAUUUACCUGCGAUUAGUGUAAAAACAGUGGUGGCGAUGAGAUUAGAUAUUGUAGCGAUACUGUAACCUGAGACAAAAAGUAAACUAAACGUACCGUACUGCACUCAAUUGCCCAUCUAAACCCACCCUGAUGCCGCCUGCUGUCAAACCUCCACCAGACCGAUGCUGCCUAUGGGUACCCCUCUAUAGCCCUCCAAGUAUCGAUGCCAUAUACGAAUUCCUAUAAUACAAUGUUAAUUUUUGUUUUCCUUCCCUCUCCACCUUUAAAAUAUAAUUUAAAAAAAAUCAAAUAAAAUGGGUAUAGCUCAUCUCUCCCCCUUUGCCCUUGGUACUGUUUUAAAAAUACUAUGUUAAUAAAUAAUAAUAUUCACAUAUAAUUUCAGUAUUUAAUUUUUUUAUUUGUAUUAUACACUUAAAAGAGCCAGAUAAUUCAUUUAAUAUUGCCCUAAGCCUAACCCAAAACCAAAGGCAAGGUCAUGUAAGCCGAUCUCGUCUUCUCUUAUAUCCCUCCCCACAACCAGAGAUUGAUAUUGGAAUCAUCACCAGAUUCUUCUCAUAACUCUAGAGAAAUUGGACACAACUUUAAAAUAACAAGGAUGAGAAGUGCAGCAGCAGAAGGAGAAGGCAAUCGUAUCAUACAUAUUAUGGAAGGAAACGAGAACCACUUAGCUUCCAUGCACCGGAAAAUCUCCGAGCCGCCGCGUUUGCUGACCAUCAGUGCCGGAAGGCCCUCAUGCUGCAUCUUCAGAGUCCCAGAGAGCCUGGUUGAGGUCAACGGCCA